rnacentral:rRNA from 1 species
CCUACGGGAGGCUGCAGUGGGGAAUAUUGGACAAUGGGGGAGACCCUGAUCCAGCGACGCAGCGUGAAUGAAGAAGGAUUUCGGUAUGGAAAACUCUAUCAGCAGGGAAGUAAAUGACGGUACCUGACUAAGAAGCCCCGGCUAACUACGUGCCAGCAGCCGCGGUAAUACGUAGGGGGCAAGCGUUAUCCGGAUUUACUGGGUGUAAAGGGAGCGUAGACGGUUCAGCAAGUCUGUUGUGAAAGGUCGGGGCCCAACCCCGGAACUGCAGUGGAAACUGUUGAACUGGAGUACAGGAGAGGUAAGCGGAAUUCCUAGUGUAGCGGUGAAAUGCGUAGAUAUUAGGAGGAACACCAGUGGCGAAGGCGGCUUACUGGACUGUAACUGACGUUGAGGCUCGAAAGCGUGGGGAGCAAACAGGAUUAGAUACCCCUGUAGUC